rnacentral:lncRNA from 1 species
AGAUGUUCUGGUAAACACUUUUACACUUAAGUCCUCAGACCGGCCCUGAGAGACCCUGGUAAUUCACUCCUUUCCUGAAUGCAACCCCCCACAUGGCACUGCAUGUGCAGUGUCCUCCUCCUGCAGACUAUGGGUGUAUUUUUCCUUAUUGCAAAUUUCCUUCAAUUCAUCAGCAGAAAUUCUAGCCACUUAACUGGGAGCUUGUGACCCUGGUUUGGACGGCUUAUGUACUCGCCUUUCAACAAACGUGGAUUGAUUUCUUGUUCCGUAGCUUCUGCUUGGCACUUCCCGCUUUCCCUGUGGAACGCCAUCUUUAGCCUUCGGUCACCACGCUGAUCCCCCUAUGAAUCACUUCCUUUGGGUCACUUGAGUUUUUUUUCUUAUAAGAGAAUCGAAUCUUUUUCAACAACCAAGUUAAAAAAUAAAGACAUUCCUAGGUUCCUGCUUUACCAUUCAUUCGCUGGUCCCAGGGCUUCAUGACUUACUUGCAAUUCAUACAUUCAUCACCAUGUUUAUCCAUACCAUAGGGAUCUCCUGGGUGCUCAAAGGCGCACUGCAUUUUCUUUUUUUCUUUUUUUUUUUUUUCCAAGGAGAGGCCUUCACAUGUUUAUUACUGAGGCAAAGCACUAUACAGAAACAACAACAUAAAGAGAACCCAUUUCCAGAUAUAUCCAACGGUGGCUGUGCCGUUUUCAGUGAUAUGGUAAGAUGCAAGGAAAUAACUGCCACACAGCAUCAAUAUGUGCACCACCUCACACGUGGAGGCUCCUUAGAGACCCAGCUUGGUUCUUCUCCAAUGUCUUCUCUUUGAGUUGUACCUGAUUUUAUUACCAGUUUUCAUCCGAAUCCAUUGGGGGAUGGGACGAUUCUGCUUUUGCUUCUUGGCCAAGAAUCGCUUGAUCCUGAAAGUCUUAUGAGAAGACAUGGCGAGGAACUAAUUCAACCACACACAGGACGGCAGAAAAGAGCAGAGAGCUGCAUUUUCUAGCACAAUCCAUACCGUGCUGGGGCAGCCCUAAAUCCUAUCAAGGUAGCUGACCGCUGCCUGAGGGAACGCAUUUUCUAUGGAUUUUCCUGCCCACAUGUGUUUAUUUUACUGAUUUAUCUGCAACCUAUCUUCCUGCAAGAAGAAAUCAGGGCUGCUUAUAAAAAUGCAAACAUUACAGGAAGAUCAAAUAAAUUUGAAAUAAGAAACAGGAGGGAAAGCAAAGGUAAGGAAGUAAGAUGCAGGUGGUAAAGUCUUUGCUGUAGAUGGGACAGAAGUUGGCUCAGAGCCCCCCUGUAAUCAGUGCAAGAGAGAAAAAUGGUGAAUUACAAAAUGCAUGGUGUCCCUGAAGUAUAAACACACCAGCUGCACAGGCGCAGCACAAUUGUUCUAACACUACAAUGUCAGAGUUUCGUGAUGCCAAUGCAAGUUCAAGGAUCCAUCAUUGUCACUGCUGGGGCUUGGGCCCUGGCUUUGAUGCAAAUUAGAUCCCUGGCCCAGGAACCUCUGCAUGCCAUGGGUUCAGUGAAAAAAAAAAUAUAUAUACAAUAGGGAGUUCCUGUUGUAGCUCAGCAGGUUAAGAACCCAGCUAGUAUCCAUGAGGAUGCUGGUUCGAUCCUUGGCCUUGAUCAGGGGGUUAAGGAUCCAGCGUUGCCGAGAGCUGCAAUGUAGGUCACAGAUGUGACUUGGAUCCCUAGUUGCUGUGGCGGUGGCGUAAGCUGGGAGCUACAGUUCUGAUUCAUCCCCUAGCCUGGGAACUUCCGUAUGCCACAGGUGCAGCCCUAAAAACAAAAACCAAAAAAGCAAUCAAAUAACUACAGUGGAUCCUUCCAAAGGAGUUAGUGAACAUGGAGUUAUCCUAGUAACAUGUUUCUUAAAGCAUGGGAAGGAUUGCCUGGGCCCUCCUCAUAUACCAAAGCACAAGAUAGGGGAAGCAUUUUGGCCUGAGGUUACAAACUGUGCUACCCUCCUCUGACACUACCGGGGAAUGAAGGAUGGAUGAAAUUACCUCCAUGAGGGCUUCGGAGAAGAGAAAUAAGGAAAGUGCAUGGUGACAGCUUUUAGGAUUUCGGGACACAGUAAAAUGCCAAAGACCACUCAGAAGCUAAGGCUUGGAUCAAAUCUAUUCUUCUUAUUAUUUUUUUGUCUUUUUGCCUUUUCUAGGGCCGCUUCCAUGGCAUAUGGAGAUUCCCAGGCUAGGGGUCGAAUCGGAGCUGUAGCCACUGGCCUAUGCCAGAGCCACAGCAACGUGGGAUCCAAGCCACGUCUGCAACCUACACCACAGCUCACGGCAACGCCUGGUCCUUAACCCACUGAGCAAGGCCAGGGAUCGAACCCGAAACCUCAUGGUUCCUAGUCGGAUUCAUUAACCACUGAGCCACGAUGGGAACUCCAUGGAUCAAAUCUAUUCUUUGGGGCUAUGACGAGCAAAAAACUGUUUUAUCAGACUCAGGGAUUUGAAUUCCACAGCCAACCCCACCCCAAUCCUUGUUUUUAUUGGGCCCUUUUAGACCUUCAGAAAAAGAAUGGGAAAGCAGGAGGGCAAACUGCUGAGAAAGGCUGGGGCCUCACAUGCUUGGGGCCAAAUGGACUUGCACGGUUUCUUUGGCCCCUCGCUUUCUUUGCUUUUCUUUUCUAUUUUUUUGGUCACACCCAAAGCCUAUGUUCCCAGGCUAUGGAUCCAAUUGGAGAUGCAGCUGCGGGCCUACAUCACAGCCACAGCAGCAGGGGAUCUGAGCCAGAGCUGCAACCUACCCCGAAACUUGCAGCAAUGCAGGAUCCUUAAUCUACUGAGCGAGGCCAGGGAUCAGACCCACAUCCUCAUGGAUACUAGUCAGGUUCUUAACCUGCUGAGCCACAACAGGAACUCCCCACGCUAACUUUUUUAUUGACUUUUUGUUUUUAUGACCUUCAGUUGAACCUGUUGUGCAGGCUGACACUGCCUAGCAAAGAUGGCAGUUAUAGACGUGAAAUUUGCUUUAUUCACUAUCGAUCUCAUAGUAUCUUUUCCACUAAAGCCUGAUAGAGCUCUUUCCUUUUAGGGUCCAUCAGUUUAUAUUUUUAUUUUUAAUUUUUUUUUGGCUCUUUCCCUGACACACAGAAGUGCCCAGGCCAGGGAUUGAACCUGUGCCACAGCAGUGACCUGAGCUGUAUCGGUGUGAAUUGCUGGAUCCUUAACCCACUGAGCCACAUCGGAACUCCAGGGCCUGUCAGUUUAAAUCUCAUGAUAUAACCUAGGAGAUGGGCAAAUUAUUUCCCAUUGGAGAAAAAAAAAUUGCAUUGAUAUCAAUAAAACUCAGUUCUUGCGGCCAUUCCUUCGUUGUUGUUAAUGUGAAGUGAUAAAGGGUUUUAACUCUGAACCUCAAAGAAAUCAGCACGUGAUUGGAUGCAAACUAAUCCAAGAAGAUAAGGCCCGUGGAGUUCCCGCUAUGGCACAGUGGGUUAAUGAUCCAACUUGUCUCUGUGGAGGCACCACUUUGAUCCCCAGCCUGGUGCUGGGGUUAAGAAUCUGGCUGUUGCUGCAGCUGUGCUGGAGGUCGCAGCUCCUGUUCAGAUUCAGUCUCUGACCUGGGAACUGUGGGGGCGGCUGAAAAAAAAAGAAAAGAACAAAAAACAAAAACCCAAGGCCCAUAUGUUUCUCUGCAUUAGCAGAGGACGGAAAAGUCAAAAGGGCAGGGGCAAGAAUGACACCUCAGAAAUAGUGACAGGUAAUAAUCAAAACUUGAAAACCCUUGGGAGUUCCUCUUGUGGCUCAGUGGAAACAAAUCUGACUAGUAACCAUAAGGACGCAGGUUCAAUCCCUGGCCUCGCUCAGUGGGUUAAGGAUCUGGCAUUGCCGGGGGCUGCAGUGUAGGUCUCAGAUGUGACUCCGAUCUGGCGUUGCUGUGGCUGUGAUAUAGGCUGGCAGCUACAGCACCGAUUCGACCUCUAGCCUGGGAACUUUCAUACACCGUGGGUGCGGCCCUAAAAAAAAUUUAAAAAAACUUGAAAAUCCUUCAAAAGGAAGGAUAAUGAUAGCUUUCUCUGAAUCGCCGUUCAAUCUGCACAGAGUAUUGUCACCAACAGGAAUCCUGAACUUAAAAAAAAAACAAAAGGAAAGAGAAAGCAUUUUUUUCUAACUUCUUUUUUUGUAGAUUAAUGGCUAACUUUACCUCCAGUACGGUAAUUCAGCAUCAUCUAAAGUUGAGACAAAUGCUUCUGUAUGUGCUAAGUUUCACUAGUCAAUUUAAUUCUUUGCGAUGAAAAAAAUUUAUGUCAGCAAAUUUAGAAAUUGAAAACAAAUUUUUAAGACGUUCAAAACUCCAGGUUACUAAAAAUAACAUUGACCCUUGGUAUUUGUCUGAGGACUCUCUGGGGAGAAGAUUUCAUCCAUUGGCGAUAAAUGGGGCCAACUCAUCUGCCGUCUUGGGUUUAAUUAGCUAAACUCUUCCAGAUGGAGACCAUUCAAAGCACAGGAAUAUUUCUGAGGCCCCUGGAAUUGUUAAUAAGCAUAACAGUAUGUUACAUGUACAAGAAAAUAUGUCUUUUAUCUUUGCCUUUAAAAGGCAACCUAGGAAGCCCUUGGUAGCAUUCUGACUUUCAAUUCAAUUAUUAAAAACGCAAUGCUCUAAUUGUAUUCCACAUCGAACAAAUGAACCUUGAGUGUUUGCUUUUCUCCUGUGCUAAGCCCUGGGGAGGGGGAAAUAAGAGAGGAGCCCUGUGCUUAUGGCAAUUAUAAUUUAACUAGAGGUUGUGUUCCCAGCGCCCGGCAUGUGAUAGGGGCUGCAUAAUUCUUUGGUGAAUAAAUGAGUGAAUGAUACAGACCCUUGGGUAGGGAAUUGCAUUAAUGAAAGUCUGAACAAAUUAUUGUGGUCGGAGAAGAGAGGAGUGGCCUCAAGCGGUCAGAGAGGUUUCACAAAGAAAUCUGCCAGAUAGGCGCACAGAAGACUUCCGGACCCAGAAAACAUGUGUUACGGCACAGAGAAGAAAAAGAGUAACAUGUAUUUAGGCAACAGCCAGUGAUUUGGUGUGGCCGGAAUGGAAUGUGGGUAUGGAAUGUGCCUGGAAGAUAGUGAGACCAGUGAACUGGGUUGGGCUUCGUUUGAAGAGAACCCUGAGAGCCGAAGGUUGGACUGGAUCCUUUAGCAUGUGUUGGCAUUUCAGAAAGAUGACCGGAGACACAGCUAGAGGAUGCCUGGAAGGGGGAAGGGAAGUAAUAGAUUCCAAAGCUGAAGUGUUCAUUUGUGACUAGCACUAGGAUAGACCCCCUUACCUACUUACAUUAAAUCUCAUUUAACCAUUGCCACAGUCCCAGUGGGUACAUGAUAGUGCCCUCAGUUUCUGAGGGGGGAAACUCAAGUUAAGUGACUUUCCCCAAAUCACAGAGCUAAGAAAAGAUGAAACUAGAAUUUGAAGCCAGGGUUCCAAAACGCUCAUUGGAGAAUAAAAAAUACCAUUGGGGAGUUGCCUGGUGGCCUGGCAGUUAAGGAUUCGGCGUUGUCACUGCUGUGGCUUGGGUUCAACCCUAAGCCCAGGAAUUUCUGCAUGCCCCAGGCAUAGCCAAAAAACCCCAAAAAACCCCAAAAAACCCCAUUGGACUUACACAAAUUAGUAUUAGGAAAAAUGUGUACAGUGGAAGUUUGGAGAAAGAUAGUGCAGAUGAGGAAAGAUACACGGGCAAGGAAAGAAAAGCAUGACUGUACGAAAGGAUAUUUACAGUAAGGGAGAUACAACACAGGAAGUGGGAAGAUAAUCACAGAAAAACCACAACAUGUGUUUUUAAAAUGCAAAGCCCCAGGGAGGAGAACGCAAACGAUACAAUAAUGCCAUUCGCUCUGGCAUCCUGUGCAUUUGGUUUUGCUCUUUCCUCCUCUUUCUUUUUUUUUUUUUUUUUUUUUUAACUUUAAACAACUUGUUAUGAGAGUAACAAAGAUACAGCUCAUGAUCUUGCAACUCUAAUACCCUAAAUCAGAAACAGAUGGUGCCUAGUGUACCCUGUUUCCUAGAAACUGCAGAAUUUUCAGGACAACACCCUGUCGCACUGCACCACUGAUUUCAGUUCCUUUGCAGAUACGAAUACACAGCUAAAUAAUGCAGUUGCUGGGCAUUAUAUCAGAACAUCUGUUUUUCUUUCUCUAGAAUCUUUCUGAAGGUUAAAACUUCUCUCCAUUUUUAUUGUUUUUUUUUCUGAUGUCCAAAGUAAUUCAUUUUUAUUGCUAAAAAUUUUGAAAAUACUGAAGAAGGAAGAAAAUUAAAAUCCCUCAUAAU